AAGAAUGUCUUCGCUGUAGUCCGAUUUUAUUGGUUUUGCUGACCGAGAUAAUGGUUAACAGAGACAAACGGGGCCAUUCGUAUUGCUACGUGAGAGGUGAAAUUCUUGGACCGUAGCAAGACGGACUACAGCGAAAGCAUUUGGCAAGAAUGUCUUCAUUAAUCAAGAACGAAAGUCAGAGGUUCGAAGGCGAUCAGAUACCGCCCUAGUUCUGACCGUAAACGAUGCCAACUAGCGAUCCGCCAGUCGACUCAUCGCUCUGGUGGGGAGCUUCCCGGAAACGAAAGUCUUCCGGUUCCGGGGGAAGUAUGGUUGCAAAGCUGAAACUUAAAGGAAUUGACGGAAGGGCACCACCAGGAGUGGAGCCUGCGGCUUAAUUUGACCCAACACGGGGAAACUCACCCGGCCCGGACACCGUAAGGAUUGACAGAUUGAUAGCUUUUUCAUGAUUCGGUGGAUGGUGGUGCAUGGCCGUUCUUAGUUCGUGGAGCGAUUUGUCUGGUUUAUUCCGAUAACGAGCGAGACUCUGGCCUACUAAAUAGUUGACGCAUUGCCACUGUGCGCACAACUUCUUAGAGGGAUUUUCGGUGUUUUCAACCGCACGAAAUUGAGCAAUAACAGGUCUGUGAUGCCCUUAGAUGUCCGGGGCUGCACGCGCGCUACACUGGCAAACGCAACGUGCCUGUCCUGCCCCGAAAGGAGCGGGUAAACCCCUGAAAUUUUGCCGUGAUUGGGAUCGGACAUUGCAACUAUUGUCCGUGAACGAGGAAUUCCUUGUAGGGGCGAGUCAUCAACUCGUCCCGAAUACGUCCCUGCCCUUUGUACACACCGCCCGUCGCUGCCCGGGACUGAGCCAUUUCAAGAAAACCGGGGAUUGAUGGCCUAACGACUCUUCGGGGUCCGCUGGCCGUUAAAAACCGGCUUAAUUGCAAUGGUUUGAACCGGGCAAAAGUCGUAACAAGGUAGCUGUAGGUGAACCUGCUGCUG
rnacentral:rRNA from 1 species